rnacentral:misc_RNA from 1 species
GGAAAGUAAAAGUCGUAACAAGGUUUCCGUAGGUGAACCUGCGGAAGGAUCAUUAACAAAAGUCGCUCCUCGGGGCGCACCUUUUGGGCGGGGGCGACCCCGCCAAUCCAAACCCAUACACACCUGUGUCUCGAACCAAGUAGGCUGGCGGAUUUAGGUCCGUCGGUCGAUUUUCCAAACCCCUGAAACACAAUUGACUGAAUAAAAUAGUGUGGGUGGUAAAACGCACACACGAAUACAAAAUAUGAAACAACUGUUAGCAAUGGAUCACUCGGUUCUC